GACUUUCUGGGAAGAUCCUUCGCAAUAAGCAAUAGUAAGUAGAGUGAUCAUUUCAUCCAUUACCACUAUUUAUCAUUACCUCAUCCAACUAUAAUACCAAGAACCUGAAAUACAUGCAACACAUGAUACCCGACAAUAAAAAUAAAUCAAAUGUUAAUGGUAAAAAAUUGGGAACUAAUCAAAUAAAACAUAAAACAAAACAAAAAUAAAUGUAAAAAGCAUAGGAAAAC
rnacentral:lncRNA from 1 species